AUGGUGGGAUUUCCAAUUAGGAAUCUCUGUAAACCACUUCCUAUCAAUUUUUGCUUCUUCAAACUCAGACUUCAGGUAUAGAGCCUUUUCAUUUCUGUUCUCUGAAGGAGAAAAUUAUGAGUUGAAUGAGAUACGACAUGAAGCACAAAGGGAAAUUUGUGAUAUUGCAGAGAAAGAGCUUCGCAAGAGGUAUAAACAAAGAGAUGAAUUACAGAACGAGAUACGACAUGAAAAUGAAUAAAG